UACGAAGGGGGCGAGCGUUGUUCGGAUUUACUGGGCGUAAAGGGCGCGCAGGCGGCGCAUUUUGUCAGGCGUGAAAGCCCCGGGCUUAACCUGGGAACUGCGUUUGAUACGGAUGGGCUAGAGUUCGGGAGAGGAGAGUGGAAUUCCCAGUGUAGAGGUGAAAUUCGUAGAUAUUCGGAAGAACACCAGUGGCGAAGGCGGCUCACUGGCCCGGUACUGACGCUGAGGUGCGAAAGCGUGGGGAGCAAACAGG
rnacentral:rRNA from 1 species